rnacentral:rRNA from 1 species
AACGAACGCUGGCGGCAUGCCUAACACAUGCAAGUCGAACGAGACCUUCGGGUCUAGUGGCGCACGGGUUCGUAACGCGUGGGAAUCUGCCCUUGGGUUCGGAAUAACAGUUGGAAACGACUGCUAAUACCGGAUGAUGACUUAAGUCCAAAGAUUUAUCGCCCAGGGAUGAGCCCGCGUAGGAUUAGCUAGUUGGUGGGGUAAAGGCCUACCAAGGCGACGAUCCUUAGCUGGUCUGAGAGGAUGAUCAGCCACACUGGGACUGAGACACGGCCCAGACUCCUACGGGAGGCAGCAGUGGGGAAUAUUGGACAAUGGGCGAAAGCCUGAUCCAGCAAUGCCGCGUGAGUGAUGAAGGCCUUAGGGUUGUAAAGCUCUUUUACCCGGGAUGAUAAUGACAGUACCGGGAGAAUAAGCCCCGGCUAACUCCGUG